UACGGAGGGUGCGAGCGUUGUCCGGAAUCACUGGGCGUAAAGGGCGCGUAGGCGGCAUGCCAAGCGUGCGGUGAAAGUCCGGGGCUCAACCCCGGAUCUGCCGUGCGGACUGGUUUGCUAGAGCACUGUAGAGGCGAGUGGAAUUCCGGGUGUAGCGGUGGAAUGCGUAGAGAUCCGGAAGAACACCGGUGGCGAAGGCGGCUCGCUGGGCAGUGGCUGACGCUGAGGCGCGACAGCGUGGGGAGCAACAGG
rnacentral:rRNA from 1 species